GAUGAAGAACGCAGUGAAAUGCGAUACUUGGUGUGAAUUGCAGAAUCCCGUGAACCAUCGAGUCUUUGAACGCAAGUUGCGCCCGAAGCCAUUAGGCCGAGGGCACGCCUGCCUGGGUGUCACACGUCGUUGCCCCCCCAUCUACUCCUUCGGGAUUGCGGGGGGCGGAUGAUGGCCUCCCGUGCGCCUCGUCGCGCGGUUGGCAUAAAUGCCAAGUCCUCGGCGACGCACGCCACGACAAUCGGUGGUUGCGAAACCUCGGUUGCCCGUCGUGUGCGGUCGUCGCGCAUCGAGGGCUCGAAAAAAUUGCCGGGCUCCGGCUCGGCUUUCAACGCGACCCCAGGUCAGGCGGGGUUACCCGCUGAAUUUAAGCAUAUCAAAAGCGGAGGA
rnacentral:misc_RNA from 1 species